rnacentral:rRNA from 1 species
UACGUAGGGCGCGAGCGUUGUCCGGAAUCAUUGGGCGUAAAGCGCGCGUAGGCGGCCCUGUAAGUCCGUUGUGAAAGUCAAAGGCUCAACCUUUGAAAGCCGAUGGAUACUGCAGGGCUAGAGUCCGGAAGAGGCGAGUGGAAUUCCUGGUGUAGCGGUGGAAUGCGCAGAUAUCAGGAGGAACACCAAUAGCGAAGGCAGCUCGCUGGGACGGUACUGACGCUGAGGCGCGAAAGCGUGGGGAGCGAACAGG